rnacentral:rRNA from 1 species
CCUACGGGAGGCAGCAGUGGGGAAUAUUGGACAAUGGGGGAAACCCUGAUCCAGCAAUGCCGCGUGUGUGAAGAAGGCCUGCGGGUUGUAAAGCACUUUCGGCAGGGAAGAAAAGUCGUACGUUAAUACCGUACGGCCUUGACGUUACCUGCAAAAGAAGCACCGGCUAACU